rnacentral:rRNA from 1 species
GAUGCAUGCUGGAGCGAUGAGAAAAGCAAAUGUAGGAAUAAGUAGCGAUAAUGUAUGUGAGAAACAUACACACCGAAAGACUAAGGAUUCCUCCGCUAUGCUAAUCAACGGAGGGUUAGUCGGAUCCUAAGGAUAAUGCGAGAGCAGAGGCCGAUGGGAACAAUGUUAAUAUUCAUUGACCUGUAUUAAUUGCGAAGCGGGGACGGAUUUUGAAGCUUCAUACGUACUGACGGAAUAGUGCGUUGAGCGGCGGCUUAGGCUAAAGC